rnacentral:rRNA from 1 species
UACGUAGGGUGCGAGCGUUGUCCGGAAUUACUGGGCGUAAAGAGCUCGUAGGUGGUUUGUCGCGUUGUUCGUGAAAACCGGGGGCUUAACCCUCGGCGUGCGGGCGAUACGGGCAGACUUGAGUACUGCAGGGGAGACUGGAAUUCCCGGUGUAGCGGUGAAAUGUGUAGAGAUCGGGAGGAACACCGGUGGCGAAGGCGGUCUUCUGGACGGUGACUGACGCUGAGGCGCGAAAGCGUGGGGAGCAAACAGG